UAGGGAAGUCUUCCACAAUGGCGAAAGCCUGAUGGAGCAACGCCGCGUGUGUGAUGAAGGGUUUCGGCUCGUAAAACACUGUUGUAAGAGAAGAAUGGCAUUGAGAGUAACUGUUCAAUGUGUGACGGUAUCUUACCAGAAAGGAACGGCUAAAUACGUGCCAG
rnacentral:rRNA from 1 species